CCUACGGGAGGCAGCAGUAGGGAAUCUUCCACAAUGGGCGAAAGCCUGAUGGAGCAACGCCGCGUGAGUGAUGAAGGCCUUCGGGUUGUAAAACUCUGUCAUUCGGGACGAACCGGAGUCUGAGGAAAUGCAGACUCUCUGACGGUACCGGAGGAGGAAGCCCCGGCUAACUACGUGCCAGCAGCCGCGGUAAUACGUAGGGGGCAAGCGUUGUCCGGAUUCACUGGGCGUGAAGCGCGCGCAGGCGGUGAUGUAAGUCUGAGGUGAAAACCCGAAGCUCAACUUCGGGACUGCCUUGGAUACUGCGUCACUUGAGGAUAGGAGAGGCAAGGGGAAUUCCACGUGUAGCGGUGAAAUGCGUAGAGAUGUGGAGGAACACCUGUGGCGAAGGCGCCUUGCUGGCCUAUUUCUGACGCUGAGGCGCGAAAGCGUGGGGAGCAAACAGGAUUAGAUACCCUGGUAGUCCACGCUGUAAACGAUGAGUGCUAGGUGUAGGUGGGCUCAUACCACUCUGUGCGACGACGACGACAUAGCACNCCGCCGUCGGGUAGGUACGGUCGCGAGACGUAGAACGUACGAAGUAGUUAGUUAGACGGCGUUGGAGGACGCGCCGACGGACGACGACGAGGGAGGUAGGGAG
rnacentral:rRNA from 1 species